CACGUAGGGGCCAAGCGUUGUCCGGAUUUAUUGGGCGUAAAGGGUGCGUAGGCGGUGGGGUAAGUUGGAUGUGAAAUCUUGGGGCUUAACCUCAAAAUUGCAUUCAAUACUGCUCCGCUCGAGUUCUGUAGAGGAGAUUGGAAUUUACGGUGUAGCAGUGAAAUGCGUAGAUAUCGUAAGGAACGCCAGUGGCGAAAGCGAAUCUCUGGGCAGCAACUGACGCUGAGGCACGAAGGCCAGGGGAGCAAACGGG
rnacentral:rRNA from 1 species